rnacentral:lncRNA from 13 species
AUGACGGGGAGAAGUUUUAGAACAAAGGGAGAAAAGGUGCGCGUGCUGCCCCUAUGUGUGCAUGUCAACGUACAGUAUAAACCGAGAGAGACGGUUAAAGAAAGGGAGAGUGAAAGGGGACACGCAUCGCUGGAUAUCAUAGGUAAGGAGAAGGGAAAAUGGAUGCUUAUAUAUUUUUGCUAUUCUUGUUGGCCACGUUUGUGUCUUCCCUCCCCUUUCUUUGUGCGUUAACGAUCAUGCGUUAUGUGUAAUUCAUGCCCGGGUAAAAUGUGUGUUAGGUUACAACGCACAACAGACGCACUCACAUUCCAACGAGAAAAGGCGUCUCGGUGAAGAAUGGCAUUCGCCAUUCUAUUCCGAAUGAUUUUUUCAAGACAUGAAAAAAAACAGUACGCUAUGGGAGAAACACAACAGGCAUAGAUAGACAGACACAGGACCCAUUCUAUUCUGCAUUAUCAGUGUUAGCCAAUAUGUGCUAUUACACAUAGCGUCUACAUCAUCGGUCUAGUCUAUUCCGAUGUAGCUCGCUUGCUGUACAGGAUAGCAGAGCCGGUCGCAUCUGCAUGUGUAUCAAUAACAGUAGCGGGAGAAGAAAGGAGAAAGAGAACCGUUGCGGUGCCUGCUUGUCGGUGCCUGCUUGUCGGUGUUGUGAGCUGUGUAAACUGCAUACUUACACGGGCUAAAGACAUGCUGCGAUGCUUCACAUAUUUCAUUUUAAUGCAUUCAUGUGUGUGAGAGCGAGAAACAGUUAAUGUGCACAUAUGUGUGUGUCUGUUUGACCAUUGCUAUACAUUGUUUGAUUAUUAUAAGCUAUGGUAAAUGCUGUGUUUGCUUUUAGUGUUGAUGGACCACAGCCAGGGACCAGCAAAUUAAACCAUGAAUAGUAGCAGCCAGCCACCUGUGACUAAGAUAUACACUGACUGUAUACAGUAUCUAUGUGUCAUUGGGAUCCAUAGCCUCCCUCCUCUGCUUUACAUUGGGCCCAUAGGCCUACACUCCCCACAUAUUGAUUUCAUAGCACAAGUGAUGGCUCAUCAUUGACUGUGUGGAAUUGUGAAUUCUUUAACUACUGCAAUAUAGUAGACAACAUGUCUAUGGGAAAAGUCACUAUAGCGCCAUGCACAUUGCACAUGUAAAGGAGGGGGUUCUGUGAACCAAGAUAGCUUGACGACUGACCAGUAGCCUAGUCUGAGACGUGGACUUGUGUUAGCUCUCCAGGCUAAUGCCUAGGCUUUAGCUCAGCAGGAUAACACAGUCUUGUGGAGCUUAGUCCAGGUUCAAAGCCAGUUGGUGACACACACUCCCCUGAUGUUGAAUUCAUAGUGACUAUACACUACUAUUCAAUGUGUGUGUCUGUGUGUGAAUCUGUAACUAACAGCUGUAACUGUUUGUAUAAAGUGUGUGAGUGUAUGAAUAAGUCAACAUAUGCAGUAUGCACUAAUAAUUCAUAUAUGUAGUAAUGGUGCCACCACACACUGAAUCUGUGUGUUUACUGCUCGAUGGGUUGAACACAAGGACCUCUAUUGUCAGUGCUAACUACCUGGCUAAAUAUAUCCCUUCAUUUCACCCACUGUGCCACUGUUCUAUUUAUAUCCUCAUUCAGUAUACAUGAGCUUGACUGGGUGAAUGGGUGAAUGAGUUGAACCUGUACAACCUGUGUCAUAUUUCAUAGUCUACUACCCUAAUGAAUGAAUGGGUGAAUGAGUUGGACCUGUACAACCUGUGUCAUAUUUC